rnacentral:rRNA from 1 species
UACGUAGGGUGCGAGCGUUACUCGGAAUUACUGGGCGUAAAGGGUGCGUAGGCGGUUUGAUAAGUCUGAUGUGAAAUCCCCGGGCUCAACCUGGGAACGGCAUUGGAGACUGUCAAGCUAGAGUGCGUCAGAGGGGGGUAGAAUUCCACGUGUAGCAGUGAAAUGCGUAGAGAUGUGGAGGAAUACCGAUGGCGAAGGCAGCCCCCUGGGAUGACACUGACGCUGAAGCACGAAAGCGUGGGGAGCAAACAGG